rnacentral:lncRNA from 1 species
AAUAAAACUUUUUUUUUUUGGAGACAGAAUUUCACUCUUAUCCCCCAGGCUGGAGUGCAGUGGCAUGAUCUCCACUCACUGCAACCUCCGCCUCCCAGGUUCAAACGAUUCUCCUGCCUCAGCCAACCAAGAGUAGCUGGGAUUACAGGUGCCUGCCACCAUGCCCGGCUAAUUUUUGUAUUUAUAGUAGAGAAGGGGUUUCACCAUGUUGGCCAGGCUGGUCUUGAACUCCUGACCUGGUGGAAGCAACCCUACUGUCGACAGAUGGAUGAAUGGAUAAACAAAAUAUUCUGUUUACAAAUAAUUUACAAUGGAAUAUUAGCCUUAAAAAAGGAAGAAAGUCUUGUCACAUGCUAUAACAUAAACUUUGAUGACAUUAUGCUAAGUGAAAUAAGCAAGGCAAAAAGGGGCAAAUACUGUAUGGUUCCAUUUCUAUGAGGCAUCCAGAGUAGUCAAA